GGUAUUGUAAUAAGAUUUUAAUUGAAUGCUAAAAGAAUGGAUUAACAGAUAAAUACUUUCUUUAAUUUAAAAAUUAAAUUUAUUAUUUUUUGUGCAGAAACAAAAAUAAAAAUUAAGGACAAGAAGACCCUAAGAAUUUUAAUUUGAUUUAAAUAAUUUAUAUUUCUUAAUCAAAUUUAAUUGGGGCGAUUGAAAAAUAUUUUUAACUUUUUUUUAAAAAAAAUAUGAACCAUUAAUAAUGGUAAUAUGAAAAAAUACUCUAGGGAUAACAGCGUAAUAAUUUUUGAUAGUUCAUAUAGACAAAAUAGUUUGCGACCUCGAUGUUGGAUUAGGAUUCUAAUUUAAUGAAGAAGUUAAAUUAAGAAGUUUGUUCAACUUUUAAAUUCCUACUUGAU
rnacentral:rRNA from 1 species